AUUUUUCGGUUCUCCCGUGGCCACUUGAUCAAGUCAAUCGGCCGCUGGGUCUGUUCAAUUCGAUCGCAAUUUUCGUCGGUAGUAGAUCGUAUCUCUAGUGCUAGGAUUUUUAUUACUCACACGCACAGUUUAGUGACAGGCUUCUGGAAGGCAACUAAGGGCUGGAACAAAAUUCUACCGAACCAAAUUAACGUGUCUCUUAUUAGCCCCCGUCUCAUUUCGAAUUAAAACAAACUCAAGAUGCCGAAACCAGUUGUCCAAGUCGGCGAUGACCCCGAUCCAAGCGAGUGGCUGUUCGUUUCGCUCGAGCAGAAGCGUAUCGAUCAAAGCAAGCCGUACGAUGCCAAGAAGGCCUGCUGGGUUCCCGAUGAGAAGGAGGGCUACGUUUUGGGUGAAAUCAAGGCCACCAAGGGUGAGCUGGUCACCGUUGCUUUGCCCGGUGGUGAGACCAAGGAUUUCAAGAAGGAUCUGGUGGGUCAGGUCAACCCCCCCAAAUACGAGAAAUGUGAGGAUAUGUCCAACUUGACUUAUCUUAACGAUGCCUCUGUGUUGCAUAACUUGCGCGAGAGAUAUAGGGCUAAGCUGAUCUACACCUACUCUGGCUUGUUCUGCGUUGUCAUCAAUCCUUACAAGCGUUGGCCGCUGUAUACCAUGCGUGUCGCCAAGAUGUACCGUGGCAAGCGUCGUGCUGAAGUGCCACCCCAUCUGUUCGCCGUUUCUGAUGGUGCCUACGUUAACAUGUUGACCAACCACGAGAAUCAGUCUAUGUUGAUUACCGGUGAAUCUGGUGCCGGAAAGACUGAGAACACCAAGAAGGUCAUUGCGUACUUCGCCACCAUUGGUGCCUCUACCAAGAAGGAAGAACCCGGUGCGGAGAAGAAGGGCUCCCUGGAAGAUCAGGUCGUCCAGACUAACCCCGUACUUGAGGCCUUCGGUAACGCCAAGACCGUCCGUAACGAUAACUCUUCCCGUUUCGGUAAGUUCAUCCGUAUCCACUUCACCGGAUCCGGUAAACUAGCUGGUGCUGAUAUUGAGACCUACCUGCUGGAGAAGGCCCGUGUCAUCUCCCAACAGACCCUGGAACGUUCGUACCAUAUCUUCUACCAGAUCAUGUCUGGCGCCGUCAAGGGAUUGAAAGAGAUGUGCUUGCUGUCCAACGACAUCUACGAUUACAUCAACGUUGCUCAGGGUAAAGUUACCAUCCCCAAUGUCGAUGACGGUGAAGAAUGUACUUUGACCGAUCAAGCCUUCGAUGUCUUGGGCUUCACCCAGGAAGAGAAGGACAACAUCUACAGAAUCACCGCCGCCGUCAUGCACAUGGGUGGUAUGAAGUUCAAGCAGAAGGGUCGCGAAGAACAGGCUGAAGCCGACGGUACCGAGGAGGGUGACCGUGUUGCCAAGCUGCUGGGUUGCGUCACUGAGGAUCUGUACAAGAAUCUGCUGAAGCCACGUAUCAAGGUCGGUGCUGAAUUCGUCACCAAGGGUCAGAACAAGGAUCAGGUCACCAACGCCGUCGGUGCCCUCUGCAAGGGUAUCUUCGAUCGUCUCUUCAAGUGGCUGGUCAAGAAGUGUAACGAAACUCUGGACACCAAGCAGAAGCGUGCCCAGUUCAUUGGUGUACUGGAUAUUGCUGGUUUCGAAAUUUUCGACUACAACGGUUUCGAACAGAUCUGUAUUAACUUCACCAACGAGAAGCUGCAGCAGUUCUUCAACCACCACAUGUUCGUCCUGGAACAGGAAGAAUACAAGAAGGAAGGUAUUAACUGGGCCUUCAUCGAUUUCGGCAUGGACUUGUUGGCCUGUAUCGAUCUGAUUGAAAAGCCCAUGGGUAUCCUGUCCAUUCUUGAAGAAGAAUCUAUGUUCCCCAAGGCCACCGAUCAGACCUUUGCUGAGAAGCUGAUGAACAACCACUUGGGCAAGUCUGCUCCAUUCCAGAAGCCCAAGCCACCAAAGCCAGGUUGCCAGGCCGGUCACUUCGCCAUCGGUCACUACGCUGGUGUUGUCACCUACAACAUCACCGGAUGGCUUGAGAAGAACAAGGAUCCCCUGAACGACACUGUUGUCGACCAGUUCAAGAAGGGUUCCAACCAGCUGUUGGUUGAGAUCUUCGCCGAUCACCCCGGACAGUCUGCUGCUCCUGAUGCCGCCAAGGGUGGACGUGGUAAGAAGGGUGCUGGUUUCGCCACUGUCUCCUCGUCCUACAAGGAACAGUUGAACAACCUGAUGACCACUCUGAAGUCUACUCAGCCUCACUUCGUCCGUUGUAUCAUUCCCAACGAGUUGAAACAGACCGGUCUGAUUGAUGCUCACUUGGUUAUGCACCAGCUGACCUGUAACGGUGUACUUGAAGGUAUCCGUAUUUGCCGUAAAGGUUUCCCCAACAGGAUGAUGUAUCCUGACUUCAAGCUGCGUUACCUUAUCCUGGCCCCAGCUGCCAUGCAGGCUGAAGCCGAUCCAAAGAAGGCCGCUGAGAAGUGUUUCGAUGCUAUCGGUUUGGAUCCCGACUCCUACCGUAUUGGUCACACUAAGGUCUUCUUCCGCGCCGGUGUUCUGGGUCAGAUGGAGGAAUUCCGUGAUGAGCGUCUGUCCAGAAUCAUGUCCUGGAUGCAGUCCUGGUGCCGUGGUUACCUGUCCCGUAAGGAGUUCAAGAAGAUGCAGGAACAGCGUGUCUCCUUGGAGGUCGUCCAGCGCAAUCUGCGCAAGUACCUGAAGCUGCGUACCUGGGCCUGGUGGAAACUGUGGCAGAAGGUCAAGCCUCUGCUUAAUGUUUCCCGUGUUGAGGACCAGAUCGCCAAACUGGAAGAGAAGGCCCAGAAGGCACAGGAAGCCUUUGAGAAGGAAGAGAAGCUCCGCAAGGAUCUCGAGGCCCUGAACAGCAAGCUGUUGGCUGAGAAGACCGCUCUGUUGGACUCUCUGUCCGGCGAAAAGGGUGCCCUGCAGGAAUACCAGGAGAAGUCUGCCAAGUUGACUGCCCAGAAGAACGAUUUGGAAAACCAGCUGCGUGACACCCAGGAACGCCUGGCUCAAGAGGAAGAUGCCCGUAACCAGCUGUUCCAGACCAAGAAGAAGUUGGAGCAGGAAAUCUCUGGCCAGAAGAAGGAUUCCGAGGAUUUGGAACUCCAGAUCCAGAAGAUCGAGCAGGAUAAGGCCUCCAAGGAUCACCAGAUCCGCAACUUGAACGAUGAGAUCGCCCACCAGGACGAGCUGAUCAACAAGUUGAACAAGGAAAAGAAGAUGCAGGGUGAGGUCAACCAGAAGACCGCCGAAGAGCUGCAGGCUGCCGAAGAUAAGGUUAACCACCUGAACAAGGUUAAGGCCAAGCUCGAGCAGACUCUGGAUGAACUGGAGGACUCUCUGGAACGCGAGAAGAAACUGCGCGGUGAUGUUGAGAAGGCCAAGCGCAAGGUUGAGGGUGACCUGAAGCUGACUCAGGAAGCCGUCUCCGAUCUGGAACGCAACAAGAAGGAACUUGAGCAGACCAUCCUGCGCAAGGACAAGGAAAUCUCUGCCCUGUCCGCCAAGCUGGAAGACGAACAGUCUCUGGUUGGCAAGCUGCAGAAGCAGAUCAAGGAACUGCAGGGCCGCAUUGAGGAACUGGAGGAAGAAGUUGAGGCUGAACGCCAGGCUCGCGCCAAGGCUGAGAAGCAGCGUGCCGAUCUGGCCCGCGAACUUGAGGAACUGGGUGAACGCCUUGAGGAAGCCGGUGGUGCUACCUCUGCCCAGAUUGAACUGAACAAGAAGCGCGAAGCUGAACUCGCCAAGCUGCGCCGUGACUUGGAGGAAGCCAACAUCCAGCAUGAAGGCACUCUGGCUAACCUGCGCAAGAAGCACAACGAUGCUGUCGCUGAGAUGGCUGAACAGGUCGACCAGCUCAACAAGCUGAAGACUAAGGCUGAACACGAUCGCGCUAACAUGUAUAACGAAUUGAACAACACUCGCUCCGCUUGCGAUCAGCUUUCCCGUGAGAAGGCUGCCCAAGAAAAGAUCGCCAAGCAGCUGCAGCACACUUUGAACGAAGUCCAAGGCAAGCUGGAUGAGACCAACCGUACUCUGAACGACUUCGACGCCUCCAAGAAGAAGCUGUCCAUUGAGAACUCCGACCUGCUCCGCCAGUUGGAAGAUGCCGAAUCCCAAGUUUCACAGCUCAGCAAGAUCAAGAUCUCGCUCACCCAGCAGCUCGAGGAUACCAAGCGUCUGGCCGAUGAGGAAUCCCGCGAACGCGCCACUCUGCUUGGCAAGUUCCGCAACCUGGAGCACGACCUCGACAACCUGCGUGAACAGGUUGAGGAGGAAGCCGAGGGCAAGGGAGACAUCCAGCGCCAGCUCAGCAAGGCCAACGCCGAAGCCCAGCUGUGGCGCAGCAAGUACGAGUCCGAGGGUGUGGCCCGUGCCGAAGAGCUCGAGGAAGCCAAGAGGAAGCUCCAGGCCCGCCUUGCCGAAGCCGAGGAAACCAUCGAGUCGCUCAACCAGAAGUGCGUUGCCCUGGAGAAGACCAAGCAGCGUCUGUCCACCGAAGUCGAGGAUCUGCAGCUCGAGGUCGACCGUGCCACCUCCAUUGCCAACGCUGCCGAGAAGAAGCAGAAGGCCUUCGACAAGAUCAUUGGAGAAUGGAAGCUCAAGGUCGACGAUCUGGCUGCCGAGCUGGAUGCUUCCCAGAAGGAAUGCCGCAACUACUCCACCGAACUGUUCCGUCUCAAGGGUGCCUACGAAGAAGGCCAGGAACAGCUUGAAGCCGUCCGCCGUGAGAACAAGAACUUGGCUGAUGAGGUCAAGGAUCUGCUCGACCAAAUUGGUGAGGGUGGCCGCAACAUCCAUGAAAUCGAGAAGUCUCGCAAGCGCCUGGAAGCCGAAAAGGACGAACUGCAGGCCGCUCUCGAGGAAGCUGAAGCUGCUCUGGAACAGGAGGAGAACAAGGUUCUGCGCGCUCAGCUUGAACUGUCUCAGGUCCGUCAAGAAAUUGACAGACGCAUCCAGGAGAAGGAAGAGGAAUUCGAGAACACCCGCAAGAACCACCAGCGUGCCCUGGACUCCAUGCAGGCCUCCCUCGAAGCCGAAGCCAAGGGUAAGGCUGAGGCCCUGCGCAUGAAGAAGAAGUUGGAAGCUGACAUCAAUGAGCUUGAGAUUGCCUUGGAUCAUGCCAACAAGGCUAACGCUGAGGCCCAGAAGAACAUUAAGCGCUACCAGCAACAACUCAAGGAUGUCCAGAGCGCCCUGGAGGAAGAACAGCGUGCCCGUGACGAUGCCCGCGAACAGCUCGGAAUCUCCGAACGUCGUGCCAACGCCCUGCAGAACGAACUGGAAGAAUCCCGCACUCUGCUGGAACAGGCCGACCGUGGUCGUCGCCAGGCCGAACAGGAGCUGAGCGAUGCUCACGAACAGCUGAACGAAGUCUCCGCUCAGAAUGCCUCGAUCGCCGCUGCCAAGAGGAAACUCGAGUCCGAGCUGCAGACCCUGCACUCUGACCUGGAUGAGCUGCUGAACGAAGCCAAGAACUCCGAGGAGAAGGCCAAGAAAGCUAUGGUUGAUGCUGCCCGCCUGGCUGAUGAGCUCCGCGCUGAACAGGAUCAUGCCCAGACCCAGGAGAAACUGCGCAAGGCCCUUGAGCAACAGAUCAAGGAACUGCAGGUCCGCCUGGACGAAGCCGAAUCCAACGCCCUGAAGGGAGGCAAGAAGGCCAUCCAGAAACUGGAACAGCGCGUCCGCGAGCUGGAAUCCGAGCUGGACAGCGAACAGAGAAGACACGCCGAUGCCCAGAAGAACCUCCGCAAGUCCGAGCGUCGCAUUAAGGAAUUGACCUUCCAGUCUGAAGAAGACCGCAAGAACCACGAACGCAUGCAGGACCUCGUCGACAAGCUGCAGCAGAAGAUCAAGACUUACAAGAGGCAGAUUGAGGAAGCCGAGGAGAUUGCCGCUCUGAACUUGGCCAAAUUCCGCAAGGCUCAGCAGGAGCUGGAAGAAGCCGAGGAGCGUGCCGACAUUGCCGAACAAGCUGCCACCAAAUUCCGUACCAAGGGAGGACGUGCCGGUUCGAUGCAGCGUGGUGCCAGCCCAGCACCUUCGGUCAUUAGAGCGUAAGAGCGCUGCUAGAAAACAAAUGAUAGACUAUUAUUUGAUAACCAAUCCCAAAUCAAAACAACGACCCGUUUAAAUUUCCCAUGAGACAGCCAUCUGCACUCCCAUCACUCGCAGGUUUUGGCGCAUUCGACGACCAUGGUUUCUAAAUUCGGCAACACCAGAAAUUAAUUUUUAGAUAAAAGCUACACGUUUUAGUUAUUUAAUUUAUUUAUUUACACACCGUGAAAACCACACGCGCACUCGACGAUGACGACGAUAACAACAAAUUCCAGUUCCAACGACACACGUUUCUACCCACACUAGUGCGUCUUCGAGAAAUGACCAUCAAAUGAGAGAGAGACACAACCAACAUCGAUCAAUCAACGCACACACGUACACAUUUCAGCCCUACAAAGAAGUAUUGUUUCCCUGUGUGAGAUGAAACCGUGUUGUUGUGACUAACCAUCCAGACUGGAACAGAAGAAUACCAAGACUCGAAACUAUUUUUUACGAGCGAACGUCACCCGAGAUGACGCUAAAACAAACAAAAAACCAGAAGAAGAAAGCGAUCCAUCAAAACAUAUUGAUAAUGGAACAUUUUUCCUGACUUAUCAUUUUAAGUUAUUACUUAUUUUGUAUUUUCUUUUUUAAUUUUGUACUUUCGCUCGGAAUCUUUUAUAAUUUUAUUAAUAAAAAGUGUAUUUAUUUUUAUUAAUUAAAAUAACGAAAUAAGAUAUUAUUCGAAACUGAAAAAAAUGGAAAAUGAUUUAGUUUUUACUAUGAAAUUGCGCUUCGCAGACGAACAAUCCGAAUGUGCAUUGAACUGAUUGCUAGACCACCGUGUAGCCUAUUGUUAGAUUGCGACGUGUGGUGCGUUUAGUACAGCCAAAAGAAACAUCUAGUAAGGCAAAACAAAAGAAAAAAGAGACACGUUCAAAAUAAGAUCCAACAUCAGCCCAAUAAAAACAAACAAAUAAAAAACAAAACA